UGCUGCUUCUACUAAAUGCCAAUUUUAGUACAUUGUAAAUUCUAAAGAGACAGAUGGAUGAUGCUUCUUAGGACGAAUUCUAAUGCUCGAUUGAUGAACUCUUUAUUAUCUGUAUCAGUUGUUGUCACCGUUUCACGAGGGCAGGGAAGGCGUUCAUGUUUUGGUGACUCCUACGAGUGAUUUGGGCAAGAACUUAGCUUGCCCAAGAAGAACGUUUCAUUGAAAUCAGAUGAGGAUUCAGAUUUUAAGCCUUCUAGGGCAAAGAGAAAAGUAUCUUCAGAUAUUGUUAGCAUUGUUGCAGAGUCAGCUACUAUUCGAACUAAACCAUGGAUGGUUCUUGCCCACUAAAAGCCUCAAAAAGGUUGGAUUUCAUAUAAUCCUAGAACUGUGAGACUCCCGCCGCUUGCUCAGGAAACAAAAUUUGUGAAGCUUUGUCCUGGAAACGUCAAUGGAUUGAGAGCAUUGCUAAAAUUAGAAGGAUUCCCAGCAGUUCAACUUUCCCAAAGGGAAGACUUUGAUGUAUUGUGUUUGCAAGAUACUAAACUGCAGGGAGAAUAUUGGUCCCUUUAUGCCUCGGGUUAUAUUUUCCAACAGUCCCCAGUUUCAGUUUUGUUAGACAUGCAUAGGCCAUAGAGAAAAAUUGCAAAGUUCGUUAUUUUUUCUUUAUUUGUGCUAGUUUAUUAGUACUUCUUGUGUUAUAUUGUAGUUAGUUAUGUAAUUUCUUUUGGUUGCUGAAUAAUUAUGCUAAGAAUUCAUUUUGUUUUUAUAGAGAAUAGUAGAGUGUAUAUUUGAAAA